rnacentral:tRNA from 1 species
GCGGGGGUAGCCAAGCCUGGCCAACGGCGCAAGAUUCAGAGUCUUGUUCCGCAGGGAUUCGCAGGUUCAAAUCCUGCCUCCCGCA